CCUACGGGAGGCUGCAGUGGGGAAUAUUGGGCAAUGGGCGAAAGCCUGACCCAGCAACGCCGCGUGAAGGAAGAAGGCUCUCGGGUUGUAAACUUCUUUUGACAGGGAAGAGCAGAAGACGGUACCUGUCGAAUAAGCCACGGCUAACUACGUGCCAGCAGCCGCGGUAAUACGUAGGUGGCAAGCGUUUUCCGGAUUUACUGGGUGGAAAGGGCGUGUAGCCGGGCUGACAAGUCAGAUGUGAAAUCCGGGGGCUCAACCCCCGAACUGCAUGUGAAACUGUUGGUCUUGAGUAUCGGAGAGGCAGGCGGAAUUCCUAGUGUAGCGGUGAAAUGCGUAGAUAUUAGGAGGAACACCAGUUGCGAAGGCGGCCUGCUGGACGACAACUGACGGUGAGGCGCGAAAGCGUGGGGAGCAAACAGGAUUAGAUACCCGGGUAGUC
rnacentral:rRNA from 1 species